AGCUCCAAUAGCGUAUAUUAAAGUUGUUGCAGUUAAAAAGCUCGUAGUUGGAUUUCUGGCAAUGCGCUGAUGUCGGCCGUGUGCUCGUGCAGACGCGCGUUUCCAUCCUUCUGUUAACGUUUCUUGGUAUUCAUUUACUGGUUUCGGGCUCAGAUAUUUUACCUUGAGAAAAUUAGAGUGUUUCAGGCAGGCUUGCGCCGGAAUACAUUAGCAUGGAAUAAUGGAACAGGACUACGGUCACUGCACUUUUUCCGUUGGUUUCGGAGGACCGAAGUAAUGAUUAAGAGGGACAGUUGGGGGCAUCCGUAUUUCGUAGUCAGAGGUGAAAUUCUUGGAUCUGCGAAAGACGAACGAGUGCGAAAGCAUUUGCCAAGAGUGUUUUCAUUAAUCAAGAACGAAA
rnacentral:rRNA from 1 species